rnacentral:lncRNA from 1 species
AUCCUCACGGAGCCGUGCCUCCUUAGUCGCCUUUGCCCAUCAGCCAUGAGUGAGAACAGAGCCGGGCGGGGGCGGCUGGGGGCGGCUAGGGGCGGCCGCGGAGCCAACUGCAGCAGCAGCGGGCCCAGCCUGCCCCGCAACAGCCAGCGCGGCUCCUGGAGGGAAACGAGCAAGGCGGCCCCGCAGGUGUGGCGCGGCCCUGGGAGGGCGCGUGCGAGCGCUGCUUUGUUUGGUGCCCGCACAGCCCCGGGCUCCAGGCCUGAGCGCCAACCUUCCCGAGCUGAGUCACGGCUGCAGAGCCCGAGGGCGGCCAUACGGCCCCGCCCGGAAGGAUGAGGCCCCUUCCUGAAGCUGGCGAGUCCGAUGCGGUGGCAGGGACAAAAGCCAGGGGAAGGUGGCUUCUAUUCUACAAAGCCCUUUAGGGAAGGGGGGAGUCAGGCCGCCCUCACCCAGUGCAGGUCCGUCACGAUGGUCACCCAGAGCACUCACGCAGAAAGCCAGCUUGCAGCCGCCAGCCCUGAGGAUGCCGCCCCCAAAGGGCUCAUUGCUCUAAUCACCCGUCCAGGGGCUUGAGGCAAAGCUCCAAGACAGACCUGUAGCAGCAUGGCCCAAAAAGUUCCUCUGCUGCCCCAGUCCCAUACCUGCCUGAGGUACGGGGGUUCAGGCUGAGUCGGCUGACCUGGAGUCAUCUGGAAGCCUUGUCAGAAAUGCAGAUUCUGCAGUGCUGUUCCCAGAGGAUGAGAUUCAGCAGAACUGGGUGUUGGAUAUUAUAUGAAGAGAUUUGCAAGUGUUAUUUUACGUAAUUCGCACUUUACAAAGGAGGAAACUGCAGCGCAGGUACCAAGGUUGCCCCAUCUCGGUCCAGGCCUGCUCCCGGCGAGCCACUCGCCCUUGACCACGCCUCCUCUCUCCUGAUUGGCUGUCAGGCAUGAGUCGCUGGAGGGCAGCAACGCAAUCUCAGCUCACUGCAGCAUCGACCUCCUGGGCUCGAGCAGUCCUCCCGCCUCAGCCUCCCAAGCAGCUGGGACUACAGUUUCUUCAGUGAUGACCCCUGACUGCCCCUCAAAUUUAAGGAGGCC